rnacentral:lncRNA from 1 species
UCUCCGAUGCAACCCCAACAUAGCUGCUUUGAAACUCUGUACACAGUUUCGUUAUUGGGCUUUAAAGGUUCAAUUUUUGGUGUUGGAUUUGAUGGUGAGUCUGAAGAGAGAACAGGCUAGAAGCAGGAAACUGUAAGGUUUCAUUAUUUGGGACUUGGGAUGAGCAAUGGGAGAGAGACAGAGAGUCAGUUCUAUAAUUAAGC